GUGCUUGCUUCGGCAGCACGUAUACUAAAAUUGGAACGAUACAGAGAAGAUUAGCAUGGCCCCUGUGGAAGGAUGACAUGUAAAUUCGUGAGGGAUCGGGAUGGGGAAUACAUGUAAAU
rnacentral:snRNA from 1 species